GUCUGCGGCCUAUCAGGUAGUAGUGGGUGUAGCGUACCUACUAGCCUACGACGGGUACGGGUUGUGAGAGCAAGAGCCCGGAGAUGGAUUCUGAGACACGAAUCCAGGCCCUACGGGGUGCAGCAGGCGCGAAAACUUUACAAUGCUGGCAACAGCGAUAAGGGAACCUCGAGUGCCAGGUUACAAAUCUGGCUGUCGAGAUGCCUAAAAAGCAUUUCAUAGCAAGGGCCGGGCAAGACCGGUGCCAGCCGCCGCGGUAACACCGGCGGCUCGAGUGGUAACCGUUAUUAUUGGGUCUAAAGGGUCUGUAGCCGGCCAGAUAAGUCUCUUGAGAAAUCUGGCAGCUUAACUGUCAGGCUUUCAGGAGAUACUGUCUGGCUCGAGGCCGGGAGAGGUGAGAGGUACUUCAGGGGUAGGGGUGAAAUCUUGUAAUCCUUGAAGGACCACCAGUGGCGAAGGCGUCUCACCAGAACGGACCUGACGGCAAGGGACGAAAGCUAGGGGCACGAACCGGAUUAGAUACCCGGGUAGUCCUAGCCGUAAACGAUACUCGCUAGGUGUCGGCCACGGUGCGACCGUUGUCGGUGCCGUAGGGAAGCCGUGAAGCGAG
rnacentral:rRNA from 1 species